rnacentral:rRNA from 1 species
AAUCAACGCUGGCGGCGUGCCUCAGACAUGCAAGUCGAACGAUUAAAGCUCUCUUCGGAGAGUGCAUAGAGUGGCGCACGGGUGAGUAACACGUAAGUAAUCUACCCUCGAGUGGGGAAUAACAGUCGGAAACGACUGCUAAUACCGCAUAAUGCAGCGGCACCGCAAGGUGACAGUUGUUAAAGGAGCAAUCCGCUUGAGGAGGAGCUUGCGGCAGAUUAGCUAGUUGGUAAGGUAAUGGCUUACCAAGGCUACGAUCUGUAUCCGGUCUAAGAGGACGGUCGGACACACUGACACUGAAUAACGGGUCAGACUCCUACGGGAGGCAGCAGUCGGGAAUUUUGGGCAAUGGGCGAAAGCCUGACCCAGCAACGCCGCGUGAAGGAUGAAGUAUUUCGGUAUGUAAACUUCGAAAGAAUGGGAAGAAUAAAUGACGGUACCAUUUAUAAGCUCCGGCUAACUACGUGCCAGCCGCCGCAGUAAGAC